UUAACUAUUAUAUAGUACUCGGACGACACUGUAAAACAGGGUUUGGGGUUCUCUGGCGGGCGCGCACCAGCCGAGGCCGGUGGCCGAAGGCGGCCCGCCAAAGCAACAAAGGCAAUGUAUACAAAGGGUGGGAGGUCUACCCCGAAGGGCAUGAACUCUGUAAUGAUCCUUCCGCAGGUUCACCUACGGAAA
rnacentral:misc_RNA from 1 species